rnacentral:rRNA from 1 species
AGAGUUUGAUCCUGGCUCAGAAUGAACGCUGGCGGCGUGCUUAACACAUGCAAGUCGCACGAGAGCGCUUCAGCUUGCUGAAGUUAGUAAAGUGGCGCACGGGUGAGUAACGCGUGGGUAAUCUACCCCCGAAUUGGGGAUAACAUUGCGAAAGCGAUGCUAAUACCGAAUGAUAUCUUAAGUCCUUAGGUACCUAAGAUCAAAGAUGGUCUCUACAUGUAAGCUAUUGUUUGGGGAUGAGCCCGCGUACCAUUAGCUUGUUGGUAGGGUAAUGGCCUACCAAGGCUGCGAUGGUUAGCUGGUCUGAGAGGACGAUCAGCCACACUGGAACUGACACACGGUCCAGACUCCUACGGGAGGCAGCAGUGAGGAAUUUUGCGCAAUGGGGGAAACCCUGACGCAGCAACGCCGCGUGAGUGAUGAAGGCUUUCGGGUCGUAAAGCUCUGUCAAGUGGGAAGAACCCACGUGGUGCUAAUAUCACCAUGUGCUGACGGUACCACUGAAGGAAGCACCGGCUAACUCCGUGCCAGCAGCCGCGGUAAUACGGGGGGUGCAAGCGUUAUUCGGAAUUAUUGGGCGUAAAGGGCGCGUAGGCGGUCUCUAAAGCCAGAUGUGAAAGCCCGGGGCUUAACCCCGGAAGUGCAUUUGAAACUUAGGGACUUGAGUAUGGGAGAGGGAAGUGGAAUUCCUGGUGUAGCGGUGAAAUGCGUAGAUAUCAGGAGGAGCACCAGUGGCGAAGGCGACUUCCUGGGCCAAUACUGAC